GUGCGAUGAUGAAUUAGCCAUGCUAAUACUGAGGCAUGCAACUUUCAAAUUUUGCGUGUCAUUGAGUUUAACAAAAAAUCUGAGCACA